rfam:Trachymyrmex septentrionalis contig28128, whole genome shotgun sequence.
CUCUCGGUAGUCUAAAGGCUUAGGAUGCUCGCAUGGAAUGCAAAAGAUCCGGGUUCGACUCUCGGCCGAGGCA